UACCAUUUAGAUUUUAUGACCAGUCACGACGUGGCAGCAAUGACCCUACUGUACAGCGUUCAGUUUUUGCAUCUGUUGACAAAGUCCCAGAUUGUUCCUGAAGGAGGCUCAUGGUUUAAUCUUUAUCAAGGCUCUGAACCUGUGGCAUUUUAAAUUAUUGAGAUUUACCUUUCCACCCUCUUCCACGCCCGCCCCCCUAAAAAACCUCCAUCAUGAGUGAAAUUGUAAUAUCCCACUAGUGUGCUCUUUAAGCACUUCAUUUGUAGAUGAAGGAUUUUUUUUUUAAAAAUACCUUGACUGAAUUUCUUUUUAUUUCUCACU